CAAAAUAUAGCUUAACCAAAAGCAUUCAGCUUACACCUGAAAUAUACCUAAUAAACCAGGGUUAUUUUGA
rnacentral:tRNA from 1 species